GUGGUUGUAGCUCAGUGGUAGAGUGUUUGCCUAGUAUGUGUGAGGCACUGGGUUCAAUUCUCAGGAUCACA
rnacentral:tRNA from 1 species